GACGAACGCUGGCGGCGUGCUUAACACAUGCAAGUCGAACGGAAAGGCCCUGCUUUUGUGGGGUGCUCGAGUGGCGAACGGGUGAGUAACACGUGAGUAACCUGCCCUUGACUUUGGGAUAACUUCAGGAAACUGGGGCUAAUACCGGAUAGGAGCUCCUGCUGCAUGGUGGGGGUUGGAAAGUUUCGGCGGUUGGGGAUGGACUCGCGGCUUAUCAGCUUGUUGGUGGGGUAGUGGCUUACCAAGGCUUUGACGGGUAGCCGGCCUGAGAGGGUGACCGGCCACAUUGGGACUGAGAUACGGCCCAGACUCCUACGGGAGGCAGCAGUGGGGAAUAUUGCACAAUGGGCGGAAGCCUGAUGCAGCAACGCCGCGUGCGGGAUGACGGCCUUCGGGUUGUAAACCGCUUUCGCCUGUGACGAAGCGUGAGUGACGGUAAUGGGUAAAGAAGCACCGGCUAACUACGUGCCAGCAGCCGCGGUGAUACGUAGGGUGCGAGCGUUGUCCGGAUUUAUUGGGCGUAAAGGGCUCGUAGGUGGUUGAUCGCGUCGGAAGUGUAAUCUUGGGGCUUAACCCUGAGCGUGCUUUCGAUACGGGUUGACUUGAGGAAGGUAGGGGAGAAUGGAAUUCCUGGUGGAGCGGUGGAAUGCGCAGAUAUCAGGAGGAACACCAGUGGCGAAGGCGGUUCUCUGGGCCUUUCCUGACGCUGAGGGGCGAAAGCGUGGGGAGCGAACAGGCUUAGAUACCCUGGUAGUCCACGCUGUAAACGGUGGGUACUAGGUGUGGGGUCCAUUCCACGGGUUCCGUGCCGUAGCUAACGCUUUAAGUACCCCGCCUGGGGAGUACGGCCGCAAGGCUAAAACUCAAAGGAAUUGACGGGGCCCCGCACAAGCGGCGGAGCAUGCGGAUUAAUUCGAUGCAACGCGUAGAACCUUACCUGGGUUUGACAUGGAUCGGGAGUGCUCAGAGAUGGGUGUGCCUCUUUUGGGGUCGGUUCACAGGUGGUGCAUGGCUGUCGUCAGCUCAUGUCGUGAGAUGUUGGGUUAAGUCCCGCAACGAGCGCAACCCUUGUUCACUGUUGCCAGCACGUUAUGGUGGGGACUCAGUGGAGACCGCCGGGGUCAACUCGGAGGAAGGUGGGGAUGACGUCAAGUCAUCAUGCCCCUUAUGUCCAGGGCUUCACGCAUGCUACAAUGGCUGGUACAGAGAGUGGCGAGCCUGUGAGGGUGAGCGAAUCUCGGAAAGUCGGUCUCAGUUCGGAUUGGGGUCUGCAACUCGACCUCAUGAAGUCGGAGUCGCUAGUAAUCGCAGAUCAGCAACGCUGCGGUGAAUACGUUCCCGGGGCU
rnacentral:rRNA from 1 species